rnacentral:rRNA from 1 species
GACGAACGCUGGCGGCGUGCUUAACACAUGCAAGUCGAACGGAAAGGCCCUGCUUUUGUGGGGUGCUCGAGUGGCGAACGGGUGAGUAACACGUGAGUAACCUGCCCUUGACUUUGGGAUAACUUCAGGAAACUGGGGCUAAUACCGGAUAGGAGCUCCUGCUGCAUGGUGGGGGUUGGAAAGUUUCGGCGGUUGGGGAUGGACUCGCGGCUUAUCAGCUUGUUGGUGGGGUAGUGGCUUACCAAGGCUUUGACGGGUAGCCGGCCUGAGAGGGUGACCGGCCACAUUGGGACUGAGGUGCGACCCAGACGCCUACGGGAGGCAGCAGUGGAGAAUAUUGCACAAUGGGCGGAAGCCGGAUGCAGCAACGCCGCGUGCGGGAUGACGGCCUUCGGGUUGUAAACCGCUUUCGCCUGUGACGAAGCGUGAGUGACGGUAAUGGGUAAAGAAGCACCGGCUAACUACGU